AACGAACGCUGGCGGCGUGGUUCAGGCAUGCAAGUUGAACGAUUCGCCAUAGCAAUAUGGCGAAUAGUGGCAGAAGGGUUAGUAACACGUGGGUAAUCUACCCUCGACUCGGGGAGUAACAUUUCGUAAAGAAAUAGCUAAUAACCCGAUGAAAUUACCUUGGUCGCAUGAUCGAGGAAGUCAAAGGUAGGCGCAAGCUGCCGAUUGAGGAGGAGCCCG
rnacentral:rRNA from 1 species